rnacentral:tRNA from 1 species
GUAAAUAUAGUUUAACAAAAACACU